rnacentral:rRNA from 1 species
UACGUAGGGGGCAAGCGUUGUCCGGAAUCAUUGGGCGUAAAGCGCGUGUAGGCGGUUCGAUAAGUCUGCUGUGAAAGUCCAGGGCUCAACCCUGGGAUGCCGGUGGAUACUGUCGGGCUAGAGUGCGGAAGAGGCGAGUGGAAUUCCCGGUGUAGCGGUGAAAUGCGCAGAUAUCAGGAGGAACACCAGUAGCGAAGGCGGUGGUCUGGGCCGGUACUGACGCUGAGGAGCGAAAGCGUGGGGAGCGAACAGG